GUCCCUUCCAAUAUCAGCACCAUGGCCUGGACUCCUCUCUUUCUGUUCCUCCUCACUUGCUGCCCAGGGUCCAAUUCUCAGACUGUGGUGACUCAGGAGCCCUCACUGACUGUGUCCCCAGGAGGGACAGUCACUCUCACCUGUGCUUCCAGCACUGGAGCAGUCACCAGUGGUUACUAUCCAAACUGGUUCCAGCAGAAACCUGGACAAGCACCCAGGGCACUGAUUUAUAGUACAAGCAACAAACACUCCUGGACCCCUGCCCGGUUCUCAGGCUCCCUCCUUGGGGGCAAAGCUGCCCUGACACUGUCAGGUGUGCAGCCUGAGGACGAGGCUGAGUAUUACUGCCUGCUCUACUAUGGUGCCUGUGUCACAGUGUUGGGUGUUCGGCGGAGGGACCAAGCUGACCGUCCUAGGUCAGCCCAAGGCUGCCCCCUCGGUCACUCUGUUCCCACCCUCCUCUGAGGAGCUUCAAGCCAACAAGGCCACACUGGUGUGUCUCAUAAGUGACUUCUACCCGGGAGCCGUGACAGUGGCCUGGAAGGCAGAUAGCAGCCCCGUCAAGGCGGGAGUGGAGACCACCACACCCUCCAAACAAAGCAACAACAAGUACGCGGCCAGCAGCUACCUGAGCCUGACGCCUGAGCAGUGGAAGUCCCACAAAAGCUACAGCUGCCAGGUCACGCAUGAAGGGAGCACCGUGGAGAAGACAGUGGCCCCUACAGAAUGUUCAUAGGUUCUCAUCCCUCACCCCCCACCACGGGAGACUAGAGCUGCAGGAUCCCAGGGGAGGGGUCUCUCCUCCCACCCCAAGGCAUCAAGCCCUUCUCCCUGCACUCAAUAAACCCUCAAUAAAUAUUCUCAUUGUCAAUC
rnacentral:lncRNA from 1 species